rnacentral:misc_RNA from 1 species
GUCUUCCCGGGCCCACCAUUUGCACCAGCAAAUGAGGUUUGCUGUAGCGAAUUGUGGUUUGUUUGGGUUACCUGAUCCUGACGGUUUGCUGUCAGGUGUUUGCGAUGGUUGGGGCUGUAGCUCAGCUGGGAGAGCACCUGCUUUGCAAGCAGGGGGUCAGCGGUUCGAUCCCGCUCAGCUCCACCAAUUCGCUUGGUGUCGAGACUGAGAGAUAUCCUUUGAAGAAAAUAAAAGUUUGCAUCGGCUUUUGAGCCUGAUGCCUGUUCUGCAUACAUUGUGAAGAGAAGAUUGAUCUGGAGGCUUCCAGGUGUUUUGGACUUAUGUCCGGAACGUCCGAGCCCAGUUCCUGUGAAUCCAUGGAUGGCCUAGCCGGCCGGAUGUGGUGGAGGGAUUGGAGGGUGGAAGGAAGCUUGUCGCUCUGGAUCGUUUGUUGUUCGUUGCCUUCGGGCUUCGUCUGAUAAGCGAUCGGAUUACCGUUGCCUGACCGCGCGGUAUCGGAUCCAAUCUCGAGAAGCUGGUCUUAAGACAGGCUGCAAGUGGGCUGCUCGGCGUAGCUCCAAUAAAGCAGACCUGUCGAACACGUCGAUGGCAUUGUUGGAUUGACUGGGUUGUAAAAGGUAACCCGGUCUGUUGCCGUUUCCUUCGGGGACGGUAGCGAGAUGAUGAGCAUUGGCAAUGAGAACGAUUAAGUGUCGUAAGGGCAUUUGGUGGAUGCCUUGGCAUGCACAGGCGAUGAAGGACGUGAUACGCUGCGAAAAGCCGUGGGGAGCUGCGAAUGAGCUUUGAUCCAUGGAUCUC